UACAGAGGUCUCAAGCGUUGUUCGGAUUCAUUGGGCGUAAAGGGUGCGUAGGCGGCGCGGUAAGUCGGGUGUGAAAUCUCGGAGCUUAACUCCGAAACUGCAUUCGAUACUGCCGUGCUUGAGGACUGGAGAGGAGACUGGAAUUUACGGUGUAAGCGGUGAAAUGCGUAGAUAUCGUAAGGAAGACCAGUGGCGAAAGGCGGGUCUCUGGACAGUUCCUGACGCUGAGGCACGAAGGUCAGGGGAGCAAACGGG
rnacentral:rRNA from 1 species